UACAGAGGUCUCAAGCGUUGUUCGGAUUCAUUGGGCGUAAAGGGUGCGUAGGUGGGUUGGUAAGUCAGUGGUGAAAUCUCCGAGCUUAACUUGGAAACUGCCAUUGAUACUAUUAGUCUUGAAUAUUGUGGAGGUCAGCGGAAUAUGUCAUGUAGCGGUGAAAUGCUUAGAGAUGACAUAGAACACCAAUUGCGAAGGCAGCUGGCUACACAUAUAUUGACACUGAGGCACGAAAGCGUGGGGAUCAAACAGG
rnacentral:rRNA from 1 species